rnacentral:rRNA from 1 species
UACGGGGGGGGCAAGCGUUGUUCGGAAUUACUGGGCGUAAAGCGCGCGUAGGCGGCUCUUCAAGUCGAGUGUGAAAGCUCCAGGCUUAACCUGGGAAUUGCGCUUGAUACUGUUGAGCUAGAGUGUGGAAGGGGCUACUGGAAUUCCGUGUGUAGCGGUGAAAUGCGUAGAGAUCUGGAGGAACACCGAUGGCGAAGGCAGCCUUCUGGGCCAACACUGACGCUCAUGCACGAAAGCGUGGGGAGCAAACAGG